GUUUGACCUUUUAAAAACUGCAGUACAGAAACUAAUAAUUCUUUCGUUUUUAUGAAAAGUUUGUUUAAACUAGCAUCUUCCUCUUCGGGCACUUGAAAUUUAUUGAUUCCAAGUAGAGAUGCAACAGUCGGUGCAGGACCUAAAUCAUCCAAUAAAUCGUGCAACGGAUCCAUUGGGUCUGGUGCUAUUUGAUCUUGAUAUUCUAACAUAAGGCAAUGAGUGUCACAAAUUUCCUGUAAUUAACAUAGAUUAACAAGAUUAAAUAUUAGAAAUAUUUAAAGAUUAAUAAUGAAAAAAUUUCGUAUUUU